AUGAGAGUAUGGACUGUAUUUUUUUUUUUUGGAUCUGUAGCUACACCUUCUCUAGAGAUGAUAUGGCCAAGAUAAUCCACCUGAUCCUACUCAAAAGAACACUUGGACUUCUUAGCAAAGGGUUGUUGGUCCUGCAACACCUUGAAGAUAGCUUCUAAAUGCUCUAAGUGAGAUUCUAAAUCUGAGCUAUAAAUGAGAAUAUCAUCAAAGAAA
rnacentral:misc_RNA from 1 species